rnacentral:rRNA from 1 species
AUUGAACGCUGGCGGCAUGCCUUACACAUGCAAGUCGAACGGUAACGCGGGGCAACCUGGCGACGAGUGGCGAACGGGUGAGUAAUGCAUCGGAACGUGCCCGGUAGUGGGGGAUAACUGCUCGAAAGAGCAGCUAAUACCGCAUACGACCUGAGGGUGAAAGGGGGGGAUCGCAAGACCUCUCGCUAUCGGAGCGGCCGAUGUCGGAUUAGCUAGUUGGUGGGGUAAAGGCCUACCAAGGCGACGAUCCGUAGCUGGUCUGAGAGGACGACCAGCCACACGGGGACGGAGACACGGCCCAGACUCCUACGGGAGGCAGCAGUGGGGAAUUUUGGACAAUGGACGCAAGUCUGAUCCAGCCAUGCCGCGUGCGGGAAGAAGGCCUUCGGGUUGUAAACCGCUUUUGUCAGGGAAGAAAUCUUCUGAGUUAAUACCUCGGGAGGAUGACGGUACCUGAAGAAUAAGCACCGGCUAACUACGUGCCAGCCGCCGCCGUAAUAC